rnacentral:tRNA from 1 species
GGAGGGUAGAGCGCAUGCUUCGCAUGCAUGAGGUCCUGGGUUCAACCCCCAGUCCCUCCA